rnacentral:rRNA from 1 species
UACGAAGGGGGCUAGCGUUGCUCGGAAUCACUGGGCGUAAAGGGUGCGUAGGCGGGUCUUUAAGUCAGGGGUGAAAUCCUGGAGCUCAACUCCAGAACUGCCUUUGAUACUGAAGAUCUUGAGUUCGGGAGAGGUGAGUGGAACUGCGAGUGUAGAGGUGAAAUUCGUAGAUAUUCGCAAGAACACCAGUGGCGAAGGCGGCUCACUGGCCCGAUACUGACGCUGAGGUGCGAAAGCGUGGGGAGCAACAGGAUUAAGAA